CGGACCGGCGCACGGUGAGUAACGCGUAUGCAACUUACCUAUCAGGAGGGGAUAACCCGGCGAAAGUCGGACUAAUACCGCAUGAAGCAGGGGCCCCGCAUGGGGAUAUUUGCUAAAGAUUCAUCGCUGAUAGAUAGGCAUGCGUUCCAUUAGGCAGUUGGCGGGGUAACGGCCCACCAAACCGACGAUGAUAGGGGUUCUGAGAGGAAGGUCCCCCACAUUGGUACUGAGACACGGACCAA
rnacentral:rRNA from 1 species